CGCAAGUUGCGCCCGAGGCUUGUCCAAGGGCAUUUCCGCUAGAGCGUCAC
rnacentral:rRNA from 12 species